GAUGAACGCUGGCGGCGUGCCUAAUACAUGCAAGUCGAGCGAACGGACGAGAAGCUUGCUUCUCUGAUGUUAGCGGCGGACGGGUGAGUAACACGUGGAUAACCUACCUAUAAGACUGGGAUAACUUCGGGAAACCGUAGCUAAUACCGGAUAAUAUUUUGAACCGCAUGGUUCAAAAGUGAAAGACGGUCUUGCUGUCACUUAUAGAUGGAUCCGCGCUGCAUUAGCUAGUUGGUAAGGUAACGGCUUACCAAGGCAACGAUGCAUAGCCGACCUGAGAGGGUGAUCGGCCACACUGGAACUUAGACACGGUCCAGACUCCUACGGGAGGCAGCAGUAGGGAAUCUUCCGCAAUGGGCGAAAGCCUGACGGAGCAACGCCGCGUGAGUGAUGAAGGUCUUCGGAUCGUAAAACUCUGUUAUUAGGGAAGAACAUAUGUGUAAGUAACUGUGCACAUCGUGACGGUACCUAAUCAGAAAGCCACGGCUAACUACGUG
rnacentral:rRNA from 1 species